UUGCUCUGACAAGUAUCCCCUGUUUCUAUUCCGUGGUUAAGGGUUCGCUUAACGGUGCUAGAUCAAAUCCGUUCUUGGAGAAAGGCCAGGCUUUCUUGUAACCGGCCCCUGCUGAUAGUUGGGUACAAAA